rnacentral:rRNA from 1 species
UACGGAGGGUGCGAGCGUUAAUCGGAAUUACUGGGCGUAAAGCGCACGUAGGCGGUCUGUUAAGCUGGAUGUGAAAGCCCCGGGCUCAACCUGGGAAUUGCACUCAGAACUGGCAGACUAGAGUACGGUAGAGGUGAGUGGAAUUUCCUGUGUAGCGGUGAAAUGCGUAGAUAUAGGAAGGAACAUCAGUGGCGAAGGCGACUCACUGGACUGAUACUGACGCUGAGGUGCGAAAGCGUGGGGAGCAAACAGG